rnacentral:rRNA from 1 species
UGGCUUAGAAGCAGCCACCAUUUAAAGAGUGCGUAAUAGCUCACUAGUCGAGUGAUCCUGCGCCGAAAAUGUAACGGGGCUAAACACAUUACCGAAAUCGUGGAUGCAACUAUGUUGCAUGGUAGGAGAGCGUUCUAAGGGCGAUGAAGCUAGACCGUAAGGACUGGUGGAGCGCUUAGAAGUGAGAAUGCCGGUAUGAGUAGCGAAAGAUCAGUGAGAAUCUGGUCCACCGUAUGACUAAGGUUUCCUGGGGAAGGCUCGUCCUCCCAGGGUUAGUCGGGACCUAAGCCGAGGCCGAGAGGCGUAGGCGAUGGAUAACAGGUUGAGAUUCCUGUACUGGUUUGAUUUGUUUGAACGAUGGAGGGACGCAGGAGGCUAGAGAUGCGUGCUGUUGGAUAUGCACGUCCAAGCAACAAGUCUGAUGAUGAGUCAAAUGCUUAUCGUCUUAAGGACAAGUUGUGACGGGGAGCGAAAUUAAAGUAGCGAAGUGAUCGAUGUCACACUGCCGAGAAAAGCUUCUAGUUAGGAUCAGACCACCCGUACCGCAAACCGACACAGGUAGUCGAGGCGAGUAGCCUAAGGUGAGCGAGAGAACUCUCGUUAAGGAACUCGGCAAAAUGACCCCGUAACUUCGGGAGAAGGGGUGCUGCACAAUGUGCAGCCGCAGUGAAUAGGCCCAGGCGACUGUUUAUCAAAAACACAGGUUUCUGCAAAAUCGUAAGAUGAAGUAUAGGGGCUGACGCCUGCCCGGUGCUGGAAGGUUAAGAGGAUGGGUUAGCGUAAGCGAAGCUCAGAAUUGAAGCCCCAGUAAACGGCGGCCGUAACUAUAACGGUCCUAAGGUAGCGAAAUUCCUUGUCGGGUAAGUUCCGACCCGCACGAAAGGCGUAACGAUCUGGGCACUGUCUCAACGAGAGACUCGGUGAAAUUAUAAUACCCGUGAAGAUGCGGGUUACCCGCGACAGGACGGAAAGACCCCAUGGAGCUUUACUGUAGCUUGAUAUUGGGUGUUUGUACAACUUGUACAGGAUAGGUAGGAGCCGUAGAAGUCGGAACGCUAGUUUCGAUCGAGGCGCUGGUGGGAUACUACCCUCGUUGUAUGAACACUCUAACCCUCGCCGCUUAUCGCGGCGGGAGACAGUGUCAGGUGGGCAGUUUGACUGGGGCGGUCGCCUCCUAAAAGGUAACGGAGGCGCCCAAAGGUUCCCUCAGAAUGGUUGGAAAUCAUUCGCAGAGUGUAAAGGCAUAAGGGAGCUUGACUGCGAGACCUACAAGUCGAGCAGGGACGAAAGUCGGGCUUAGUGAUCCGGUGGUUCCGCAUGGAAGGGCCAUCGCUCAACGGAUAAAAGCUACCCUGGGGAUAACAGGCUUAUCUCCCCCAAGAGUCCACAUCGACGGGGAGGUUUGGCACCUCGAUGUCGGCUCAUCGCAUCCUGGGGCUGAAGUAGGUCCCAAGGGUUGGGCUGUUCGCCCAUUAAAGCGGUACGCGAGCUGGGUUCAGAACGUCGUGAGACAGUUCGGUCCCUAUCCGUCGCGGGCGUAGGAAAUUUGAGAGGAUCUGUCCUUAGUACGAGAGGACCGGGAUGGACAUACCGCUGGUGUACCAGUUGUUCUGCCAAGGGCAUCGCUGGGUAGCUAUGUAUGGAUGAGAUAAACGCUGAAAGCAUCUAAGUGCGAAACUCACCUCGAGAUAAGAUUUCCCAUUCCUUUAUGGAAGUAAGACCCCUGAGAGAUGAUCAGGUAGAUAGGAUGGAAGUGGAAGUACGGUGACGUAUGGAGCGGACCAUUACUAAUCGGUCGAGGACUUAACCAA